UACGUAGGGGGCAAGCGUUGUCCGGAAUUAUUGGGCGUAAAGAGCGCGUAGGCGGUUCAGUAAGUCGGGUGUGAAAACUUUGGGCUUAACCCAAAGCGUGCAUCCGAUACUGCUGUGACUUGAGUUCGGUAGGGGAGUGGGGAAUUCCUAGUGUAGCGGUGAAAUGCGCAGAUAUUAGGAGGAACACCGGUGGCGAAGGCGCCACUCUGGGCCGAAACUGACGCUGAGGAGCGGAAAGCAUGGGAUAGC
rnacentral:rRNA from 1 species